AGCUUUUUCCGCUUGGGAGUGCCUGGUUCCUGUYUGUCCUCAGCUGGUGGUGACCAAUGUCUAUGACCAGACUUGUAUCUUGUGAUAUAGAGAUGUCUGCCUUAGCAAACUAACACCCUCCCUGAGGAUCCUGAGCUCAUCCUGGCUGUGGCCAUGCUGGGAAUAUGCUGGCUUGCUACUGAAUCCAGUGUCGGCAAUACAAGUUGGCAAUGUCCUGUGGUAGCUUAGUGCAAGCCAACAACUGAAGAAAAAGACCUGACUCCRUGAAGACUGUAGUCCAGCUGGACAUCUUGCUGAGAUGAACACAAGCAUCUUUUCAGGUUCUUUCCUGAGGUCCUUUCUUAAGGUGGAAGUGAUGAGGCCGGCUUAGGAGUAACCAGUUUCUGAAUGCAACUGAGAUAAGGAGAGCAGCC